rnacentral:rRNA from 1 species
AUUGAACGCUGGCGGCAGGCCUAACACAUGCAAGUCGAGCGGAAACGAUCCUAGCUUGCUAGGAGGCGUCGAGCGGCGGACGGGUGAGUAACACGUGAGAAUCUGCCCAUUAGAGGGGGAUAACCUGGGGAAACCCAGGCUAAUACCGCAUAAUCCCUACGGGGGAAAGCAGGGGAUCUUCGGACCUUGUGCUGAUGGAUGAGCUCGCGUCGGAUUAGCUUGUUGGUGAGGUAAUGGCUCACCAAGGCGACGAUCCGUAGCUGGUCUUAGAGGAUGAUCAGCCACACCGGGACUGAGACACGGCCCGGACUCCUACGGGAGGCAGCAGUGGGGAAUCUUGGACAAUGGGGGCAACCCUGAUCCAGCCAUGCCGCGUGUGUGAAGAAGGCCUUCGGGUUGUAAAGCACUUUCAGUAGGGAGGAAGGCUUAUCCUUAAUACGGAUGAGUACUUGACGUUACCUACAGAAGAAGCACCG